AUUUUAAAAUGUUCAUCAAAAUUCACUUAGUUUGAAUCUUGGAAAGUGAAAAGUGCCAAAUAUUUACCACUUUUUGGCAUCUGCUUGGUUGACAGGUGCCGCUGGAUUUGGCUUUACACCGCCCGGGGAGAAUAAACAAAUACCCGGAGGUGGAUCUAUACUUGGGAUCAAGCCAAGUAAAAAGCUUCUUAUAUUGGAUGUAAAUGGUAUUUUAGCUAAAAUAGAACGGUCAGAUAAUGAAGUCACAGCUCUUAAAAGACACGGUUGCAGUGAAUUUUUGGAGUUUUGCUUUGAGAAAUUUGAAGUCGCUAUUUGGACUUCUAGGAAGAGG